AAUUCAGUUUUUAAAUGAAUUCGUAAAUUGCUUUCUUUUUCCCAGGAACAGAAAUUAUAAUUUUUAACAUUUGUGUUUUUAACCUUCCCCAGUAGCACAAUAAUCUUAGCUUUAACCUUCCCCUUUCUGACUUCUCUGGGAUCUUUUUUUCUUAAUCCCCAUGGUAUCUUUGGAGAACCUACCUCUGUAGAGAGGCAGUAGACUCUGAAGUCACCUGUCGUAAGAACGUGAGCUUUCCUCUUCACAUGCUGCUUAUAUUCCCUAUUAAGUUUGUUUCUUUUCUAGAAAAAAUUGAAAGAACUGUCCAGAUUGAGGCUUCAACUGUUGAAAUUGAAGAGCGAGGGGUCAAGCUACGCCUGACAGUGGUAGAUACCCCUGGCUAUGGUGACGCUAUCAACUGCAGAGAUUGGUAUGCUCCCCCAUGCCCAGGGAUCUGCAUUUGUUUACUUAAUAUACUUCAUAAAUUUAUAGAUAGUGUUAAUGAGUGAUUAUUAAGUUUGGGAUUGCUGUAUAUAAUAAAACACCUAGACAAUUUAAAGCGUGUUAAAUGUUGACUUUUUAAAUAAGGAAUUUUAUAGAGAGUAAUUUUUUUCUGGUACUCUACUGUAAUUUGAGAUCGCAAAGCCAGUCAUCCAUAGACUGCUAGUAUAAAUGAAACACCUGGAUUUGAGCCGUGGUUGGUGACCGAGAUACUGUAGUACAUCCUUUCUAUGUGGAAGGAAGUGAAACCUGUUAGAGAGUGGGUUGAGUCGUAGUGUCUGUAAAUGACUGCUCAUUGGCAUCAUUUUCACAAAUAAGGAAAUGAAGAAGUAGAAGAUAGAGCAGUCUGUCACCUGUACCGUGCAAAGAAUGCCACUUUUGUUGUACAAACUCCCUCCUGGUUCUAUUCCUGUCAACAUAAAGCAUCAGGUUUCCACCACUAGAUGAAAAGGGGAAGGUUCUGUUAUCUUUCUCCUACAUUUAGGAAUUUCUCCCUUCUUACAUGUGAAAGUGCUGUACUGUUUCCCAGCUCAGUUAAAUGCUGUUUCCCAGCUCAGAUAAACCUGUUCUUGACCCAUGUUCUCUACCACCCUGUUCCUCUGCCCCUUUUCACAGUCAAAUUUUUCCUGCAUUUUAGUGGUGGUUUUCAAGGAGAACCUGAUGGUUACAAAUUUUAAUUUUUGCCUUCAUGAAGGUAUCAAAUUUCUAUUCUUUAAAUUCUCCUUAUAUUUAAAAUGCCCUCGAUGAGUAGCAGUUGGUUACACACAAGUACCUUCCAUGGGAGUUAAAUGACUCAAAUAUAGAAAUGUGAUCUCUCCAUGAAGUUUGUUAUUUUACCUAAAUUCUUUACUGCAAAUGACCCAUACAAGGAUGUAUCUAAGUAGACUGGUUCUCUGUUCUGUUUGGAAACAUAGCAGUUGUCAGCCAGCGAAGCGCCUCUCACCCGCCAGCAGCUCCUGUGGUGUCCCAGUUUUAGUGCCUCUUCCGUGUAUGUCUGUAAAGCCUCUUUAUUGAUUCUCUGCUAUAUAUUUUUAAAUUGCUUACUUUGUUCUGAUUAUAUGCUCCUUAAGAAAGUCCAAAUAGUUUAUAUAUGCUAAACUCUAAAAAUACAAAUCCCUAACUGAACAUACCGGUACGUGCAUAAAAAUACAAAUCCCUAAAUGAACAUACCGAUCUGUGCGUGUAAUCACAGUUGCUGGGGCAGGGUAGGGGGAUACAGCAGGGGGUUCAGGCAGGAGGAUCACUUGAGCCCAGAAGUUGGAGGCCAACCUCAGCAACAUAGCAAUACGCUGUCUCUAAAAAAAUAUAUAUAUAUAUUUUAUAUAUAUAAUAUAUAAUUAAUAAAUAUAUAUAAUAUAUAUUACAUAUAUAUUAUAUCUAUAUUAUUUAUAUUACAUAUGUAAUAUAUAUUAUAUUUAUAUUAUUUAUAUAAUAUAUUAUAUAUAUUAUAUUAUUUAUAUGUAAUAUAUUUAUAUUGUUUAUAUAUAUUAUAUUUAUAUUAUUUAUAUAUAAUACAUAUUAUAUUUAUAUUAUUUAUAUAUAAUAUAUAUAAUAAAUAUAUAAUAUAUAUAAAAAUAUAUAUAUUUAAUAUAUCUAUAAUAUAUAUUAUAUAUAUUAUAUAUAAUAUAUAUAAUUGUACAUAUAUUUAUUAUAUAUAUUAUAUAUAUAAUAUAUAUUAUAAAUAUAAUAUAUAAAUAUAUUUAUAAAUAUAUAUAAAUAUUAUAUUUAUACAUUAUAUUUAUAUACAUAUUAUAUAUACAUUUUUAUAUAUUAUAUAUAUAUAAAUAUAAUAUACAUAUAUUUUUUAAAAUAAAAGAGUUUCUAGGCCGAGUGUGGUGGCUCACGCCUGUAAUCCCUGCACUUUGGAAGGCUGAGGCAGGCACAUCACCAGAGGUCAGGAGGUCGAGACCAGCCUGGCCAACAUGGCAAAACUCCGUCUCUAAAAAAUUACAAAAGUUAGCCGGGCGUGGUGGCGGGCAUCUGUAGUCCCAGCCACUCAGGAGGCUGAAGCAAAAGAAUCGCUUCAACCCAGGAGGCAGGGCGUCCCAAAGUGCUGGGAUUACAGACGUGAGCCACCACACCCGGCCGCAGUUUUAUAAAUUUAUUUGACAGUAACUUUCGUCAUCAGUUUGAUUAUUGACAUUUGUAUGAUUUCCAAUAUAUUUCUUACAAGAUGAGCUAGAAUUGGCUACAAUAACAUACGCAGUUUGCUAAAAUUGAUCCUGGUUUUGUCAUUCUCUCAGAUUCUGGAUGAAAUUGAAGAACAUAACAUCAAAAUCUAUCACUUACCUGAUGCAGAAUCAGAUGAAGAUGAAGAUUUUAAAGAGCAGACUAGACUUCUCAAGGUAAGAACUGGCUUCAGAUCCACAACAUAAAUAACUCCUGUUUACUGUUGUCCAUGUUGAGGUGAGAGAGAUUGCCUGGGUAUGUUCAGUUACGAGAGUAUUUUUGCUUUCAAUAUAUUUUAAGACCUCAUGCAGUGGCUCAUGCCUAUAAUCCCAGCACUUUGAGAGGCCAAGGCAGAUGGAUCAUGGCCAACAUGGUGAAAUCUCAUCUCCAUCAAAAAUACAAAAAUUAGGUGGAUGUGGUGGUGCACACCUGUAGUCCCAGCCACUCGGGAGGCUAAGGCAGGAGAAUCACUUGAACCCAGGAGGCAGAGGUUGCAGUGAGCCGAGAUCGCGCCUCUGCAC
rnacentral:lncRNA from 10 species